ACGUAGGGUGCGAGCGUUAAUCGGAAUUACUGGGCGUAAAGCGUGCGCAGGCGGUUCGCUAAGACAGAUGUGAAAGCCCCGGGCUUAACCUGGGAACUGCGUUUGUGACUGGCGGGCUGGAGUGCGGAAGAGGGAGGUGGAAUUCCACGUGUAGCAGUGAAAUGCGUAGAGAUGUGGAGGAACACCGAUGGCGAAGGCAGCCUCCUGGUCUAGCACUGACGCUCAUGCACGAAAGCGUGGGGAGCAAACAG
rnacentral:rRNA from 1 species